AACGCGAAGAACCUUACCAGGGUUUGACAUGCCUGUGCACCACCCAGAGAUGGGUGUGCCCGCAAGGGACGCAGGCACAGGUGCUGCAUGGCUGUCGUCAGCUCGUGUCGUGAGAUGUUGGGUUAAGUCCCGCAACGAGCGCAACCCUCGUCCUAUGUUGUCAGCGGGUCAUGCCGGGGACUCAUAGGAGACUGCCGGGGUCAACUCGGAGGAAGGUGGGGAUGACGUCAAGUCCUCAUGCCCCUUAUGUCUUGGGCUGCAAACAUGCUACAAUGGCCAGUACAAAGGGUUGCGAGACCGCAAGGUGGAGCGAAUCCCAAAAAGCUGGUCUCAGUUCGGAUUGGGGUCUGCAACUCGACCCCAUGAAGUCGGAGUCGCUAGUAAUCGCGAAUCAGCAACGUCGCGGUGAAUACGUUCCCGGGUCUUGUACACACGC
rnacentral:rRNA from 1 species